rnacentral:rRNA from 1 species
ACUCCUACGGGAGGCAGCAGUGGGGAAUAUUGCACAAUGGGCGCAAGCCUGAUGCAGCCAUGCCGCGUGUAUGAAGAAGGCCUUCGGGUUGUAAAGUACUUUCAGCGGGGAGGAAGGCGAUAAGGUUAAUAACCUUGUUGAUUGACGUUACCCACAGAAGAAGCACCGGCUAACUCCGUGCCAGCAGCCGCGGUAAUACGGAGGGUGCAAGCGUUAAUCGGAAUUACUGGGCGUAAAGCGCACGCAGGCGGUCUGUCAAGUCGGAUGUGAAAUCCCCGGGCUCAACCUGGGAACUGCAUUCGAAACUGGCAGGCUAGAGUCUUGUAGAGGGGGGUAGAAUUCCAGGUGUAGCGGUGAAAUGCGUAGAGAUCUGGAGGAAUACCGGUGGCGAAGGCGGCCCCCUGGACAAAGACUGACGCUCAGGUGCGAAAGCGUGGGGAGCAAACAGGAUUAGAAACCCGAGUAGUCCCAUGAU